rnacentral:rRNA from 1 species
GAUGAACGCUGGCGGCGUGCCUAAUACAUGCAAGUCGAGCGAGCGGCGGACGGGUGAGUAACACGUGAUAACCUACCUAUAAGACUGGGAUAACUACUGGAAACGGUAGCUAAUACCGCAUACCAUCAGAUGUGCCCAGAUGGGAUGUGCUAGUAGGUGGGGGAACGGCUUACGUAGGCGACGAUCCCUAGCUGGUCUGAGCGGAUGACCAGCCACACUGGAACUGAGACACGGUCCAAACUCCUACGGGAGGCAGCAGUGGGGAAUAGUGCACAAUGGGCGCAAGCCUGAUGCAGCCAUGCCGCGUGUAUGAAGAAGGCCGUCGGGUUGUAAAGUACUUUCAGCGGGGAUGCGUUACCCGCAGAAGAAGCACCGGCUAACUCCGUGCCAGCAGCCGCGGUAAUAC